AAUUAUAUGAAGGCCCAGGGUUGAUGACCCUUCCCUGAUUUUUCGNAGANGGUGGUGCAUGGCCCGCCGUCAGUUCGUACCGUAAGGCNUUUCUUGUUAAGUCAGAUAACGAACGAGACCCCUCAUCGCCAUUUGCUAGGCUCUUCUCAGGAAGGGUUGCACUAUGGCGAUACCGCCACUGCUGAAGUGGAGAAAGGAGGGGGCAACGGUAGGUCNGUAUGCCCCGAAUCUCCCGGGCUACACGCGCGCUACAAAGGGCAGGACAAUGGGCUUCGACGCCGAAAGGCGAAGGCAAUCCCGAAACCUGCUCGUACUUCGGAUUGAGGGCUGCAAUUCGCCCUCAUGAAGCUGGAAUCCGUAGUAAUCUCGGGUCAACAUCCCGCGGUGAAUAUGCCCCUGCUCCUUGCACACACCGCCCGUCAAACCAGAAAUAGUUGGGUCUGGA
rnacentral:rRNA from 1 species